CCCCUAGUAACUGCGAGUGAAGCGGGAAAAGCUCAAAUUUAAAAUCUGGCAGUCUUUGAUUGUCCGAGUUGUAAUCUAGAGAAGUGUUAUCCGCGUUGGACCGUGUACAAGUCUCCUGGAAUGGAGCAUCAUAGAGGGUGAGAAUCCCGUCUUUGACAUGGACUACCAGUGCUUUGUGAUGCGCUCUCAAAGAGUCGAGUUGUUUGGGAAUGCAGCUCAAAAUGGGUGGUAAAUUCCAUCUAAAGCUAAAUAUUGGCGAGAGACCGAUAGCGAACAAGUACCGUGAGGGAAAGAUGAAAAGAACUUUGGAAAGAGAGUUAAACAGUACGUGAAAUUGCUGAAAGGGAAACGCUUGAAGUCAGUCGCGUUGGCUGGAAAUCAACCUUGCUUUUGCUGGGCGUACUUUCUAGUCAAUGGGUCAGCAUCAAUUUUGACCAUUGGAAAAAGUGUAGAGGAAUGUGGCAUCUUCGGAUGUGUUAUAGCCUUUGCUCGCAUACAAUGGUUGGGAUUGAGGAAUUCAGCAGGGAAAAAA
rnacentral:rRNA from 1 species